rnacentral:tRNA from 2 species
GCCCGGUAGCUCGUCAGGCUCAUAACCUGAAGGCCGCAGGUUCAAAUCCUGCCCCCGCA